rnacentral:rRNA from 1 species
CAAUAGCGUAUAUUAAAGUUGUUGCAGUUAAAAGCUCGUAGUUGGAUUUCUGGUGUGAGGAACUUGGUCGGCUGCGGCUACGCAGUUAGUGCCGAAUUUCCUCGCCCAUCCUUCUGGAAAUUGGCUCUGUGCUUCAUUGCAUUCGGGUCAGGAUCCAGAUCUUUUACUUUGAAAAAUUAGAGUGUUUAAAGCAGGCUUUGCUGUGAAUACAUUAGCAUGGAAUAAUAACUUAGGACUUUGGUUCUAUUUUGUUGGUUUCUAGGGCCGAAGUAAUGAUUGAUAGGGAUAGUUGGGGGUGCUAGUAUUCAGCGGCCAGAGGUGAAAUUCACGGAUUCGCUGAAGACUAACUUAUGCGAAAGCAUUCACCAAGGAUGUCUUCUUUAAUCAAGAACGAAAGUUGGGGGAUCGAAGACGAUCAGAUACCAU